CCCUUAGAGUUUGAUCCUGGCUCAGAGCGAACGCUGGCGGCAGGCCUAACACAUGCAAGUCGAGCGCCCCGCAAGGGGAGCGGCAGACGGGAGAGUAACACGUGGGAACAUGCCCUUCAGUACGGAACAACCAAGGGAAACUUUGGCUAAUACCGUAUACGUCCGUAAGGAGAAAGAUUUAUCGCUGAAGGAUUGGCCCGCGUCUGAUUAGCUAGUUGGUGAGGUAAUGGCUCACCAAGGCGACGAUCAGUAGCUGGUCUGAGAGGAUGAUCAGCCUCACUGGGACUGAGACACGGCCCAGACUCCUACGGGAGGCAGCAGUGGGGAAUAUUGGACAAUGGGCGCAAGCCUGAUCCAGCCAUGCCGCGUGGAUGAUGAAGGCCCUAGGGUUGUAAAGUCCUUUCGGCGGGGAAGAUAAUGACGGUACCCGCAGAAGAAGCCCCGGCUAACUUCGUGCCAGCAGCCGCGGUAAUACGAAGGGGGCUAGCGUUGCUCGGAAUCACUGGGCGUAAAGCGCACGUAGGCGGACUCUUAAGUCGGUGGUGAAAUCCUGGAGCUCAACUCCAGAACUGCCUUCGAUACUGAGAGUCUCGAGUCCGGGAGAGGUGGGUGGAACUGCGAGUGUAGAGGUGAAAUUCGUAGAUAUUCGCAAGAACACCAGUGGCGAAAGCGGCUCACUGGCCCGGUACUGACGCUGAGUGCGAAAGCGUGGGGAGCAAACAGAUUAGAUACCCUGGUAGUCCACGCCGUAAACGAUGGAUGCUAG
rnacentral:rRNA from 1 species